GACGAACGCUGGCGGCGUGCUUAACACAUGCAAGUCGAACGGAAAGGCCCUGCUUUUGUGGGGUGCUCGAGUGGCGAACGGGUGAGUAACACGUGAGUAACCUGCCCUUGACUUUGGGAUAACUUCAGGAAACUGAGGCUAAUACCGGAUAGGAGCUCCUGCUGCAUGGGGGGGGUUGGAAAGUUUCGGCGGUUGGGGAUGGACUCGCGGCUUAUCAGCUUGUUGGGGGGGUAGUGGCUUACCAAGGCUUUGACGGGUAGCCGGCCUGGGAGGGUGACCGCGCACAUUGGGACUGCGGGACGGCGCAGACUGCUACGGGAGGCAGCAGUGGGGAAUAUUGCACAGUGGGCGGAAGCGUGAUACAGCAACGCCGCGGUCGGGAUGAAGGCCUUCGGGUAGUAAACCGCUUUCGCCUGUGACGAAGCGUGAGUGACGGUAAUGGGUAAAUAAGCACCGGCUAACUACGUG
rnacentral:rRNA from 1 species